UGUCAUUAUUGCUUUGACAAUUAUAAGUUGUCAGUUUGAACAUUGAGAGUUGUCAGUAUGACAACCCAUGUUGUUAUUGUGACAACAUUGCGAGUCUUAUACUGAUUGCUUUAAAACAAACAUUCAUUAGAUAUGAUAUUUAGAUAGUGUUAACGAUCAUGUUUAUAGUUUAACCACGCGUUUUACACAGGAUAUGUCUUGACAAUAGUUUAUUGUCAAAGCAUUGUCAUAUUUUGAGUUUUCUCAAACUUUGACAAUACAAGGUUGUCAAACUUGACGGAUUGAGCGCAUGCGCAGUUCCAAUGUCCUUCACAGCGAAGGUCACAGUAAAUGAGUUGUAACGCGUCGGCAGCGUCAAAGUGAGCGGGAAGAGUGGUUAUAUUUAUGAUUUCAGAUCUGUGCAGAAUACUCUCGACUGGGAAAGGUGUCUGAAAGAAUCUAUUACCUAAUCAGAAAUUCAUCGAAAGUCCAGGAUUAUGUCAAAGCUUUGAUGAAAGACGUGGAUACAAGAACUGAUGAAACAGAAAAAAGUAUGCAGUACUGGCCACAGUGAUCCUGGGUCUUCCCGGACUCCUAAGAGAUGAGGCGAAGACCUUCAUUGUAAAG